rnacentral:rRNA from 1 species
AUUGAACGCUGGCGGCAUGCCUAACACAUGCAAGUCGAACGGCAGCACGGCAGUAGCAAUACUGUGGGUGGCGAGUGGCGGACGGGUGAGGAAUACGUCGGAAUCUGCCCAGUCGUGGGGGAUAACUAGCCGAAAGGUUAGCUAAUACCGCAUACGACCGAGAGGUGAAAGCGGGGGACCGCAAGGCCUCGCGCGAUUGGAUGAGCCGACGUCGGAUUAGCUAGUUGGUGGGGUAAAGGCCCACCAAGGCGACGAUCCGUAGCUGGUCUGAGAGGAUGAUCAGCCACACUGGAACUGAGACACGGUCCAGACUCCUACGGGAGGCAGCAGUGGGGAAUAUUGGACAAUGGGCGCAAGCCUGAUCCAGCAAUGCCGCGUGUGUGAAGAAGGCCUUCGGUU